rnacentral:rRNA from 1 species
AGUGCGAGGGCAUAGAGCCCUCGCUUUUGUACACCGUAAGGUGGUGUACGAAUAAGAGCUGGGCAAGACCGGUGCCAGCCGCCGCGGUAAUACCGGCAGCUCGAGUGAUGGCCGAUCUUAUUGGGCCUAAAGCGUCCGUAGCUGGCCAGGCAAGUCCGUUGGGAAAUCUGCUCGCUUAACGAGCAGGCGUCCAGCGGAAACUGCUUGGCUUGGGACCGGAGGACCUGAGGGGUACGUCCGGGGUAGGAGUGAAAUCCUGUAAUCCUGGACGGACCACCGGUGGCGAAAGCGCCUCAGGAGGACGGAUCCGACAGUGAGGGACGAAAGCUAGGGUCUCGAACCGGAUUAGAUACCCGGGUAGUCCUAGCUGUAAACGAUGCUCGCUAGGUGUGGCGCAGGCUACGAGCCUGCGCUGUGCCGUAGGGAAGCCGGGAAGCGAGCCGCCUGGGAAGUACGUCUGCAAGGAUGAAACUUAAAGGAAUUGGCGGGGGAGCACUACAACCGGAGGAGCCUGCGGUUUAAUUGGACUCAACGCCGGACAUCUCACCGGCUCCGACAGUAGUAAUGACGGUCAGGUUGAUGACCUUACCCGACGCUACUGAGAGGAGGUGCAUGGCCGCCGUCAGCUCGUACCGUGAGGCGUCCUGUUANGUCAGGCAGCGAGCGAGACCCGCACCCCUAAUUNCCAGCANUACCCUUUNGGUAGNUGGGUACANUAGGGGGACUGCCGCUGCCAAAGCGGAGGAAGGAACGGGCAACGGUAGGUCAGUAUGCCCCGAAUGAGCCGGGCAACACGCGGGCUACAAUGAUUGAGACAAUGGGAAGCCACUCCG